UACGUAGGUGGCAAGCGUUGUCCGGAAUUAUUGGGCGUAAAGCGCGCGCAGGCGGUCCUUUUAAGUCUGAUGUGAAAGCCCACGGCUCAACCGUGGAGGGUCAUUGGAAACUGGGGGACUUGAGUGCAGGAGAGAAAAGUGGAAUUCCACGUGUAGCGGUGAAAUGCGUAGGAGAUGUGGAGGACACCAGUGGCGAAGGCGGUUCUCUGGGACGGUACUGACGCUGAGACGCGAAAGCGUGGGGAGCGAACAGG
rnacentral:rRNA from 1 species